rnacentral:lncRNA from 1 species
AGAGACGGGGUUUUGCCAUGUUGGCCAGGCCGGUCUCGAACUCCUGACCUCAAGUGAUCCGCCCACGUUAGCCUCCCAAAGUGCUGGGAUUACAGGCCUGAGGCACUGUGCCCAGCCAAAAAAAUUUUCUUACAUUCCCUUUUAUAUGACUGGUGGGAGAAGAGAGAUGUUAGAGAAAACAGGGAAGUCGGCAGAGCCAGAGGAAUGCCCAAAUGUUAUCCUAUUAAGGCUGACAAAUCUUCAGACAUGGUAUGAUUACUCUCCCAGCCCAGUUUUAUCAUCUGAACCCACCCAGACUUAUUCACUAAAACAUAGCCACUUGGCAAGAGUGAAACUCCGGUCUCAAAAAAAAAAAAAAAAAAAAAACCUGGAAAUACUCAUUCUGUCCAGAGCUUAUGUUUUUUGAGUUAAUAACGUAUUUCCUAGCUUAUGUUUGGUUUUACUUGUGCUUUUGCUUCUGAGAAAAUAGAUGUA